UGGCGCUGCCGUCGGCCUCAUGACAGCAUCUCCUGGAAGCUCAGAGGACGGGACUCGUCUCUGUGGCCUCCGGCUCGCAACAGUGCACCUCGGGGACUUUCCAUAAACUCACAGGUCACAAAGUGGCAUCACGGAGCGGCUCUCAAAGCCGAGGGAUGUGACGCCGAUCAGGGGGGCUGACACGCCACGUUCUCCUUGGGGACGCCAAGCAGGCGCAGCUGACACGCAUGCCGGGUCUGCCGACUCCCCACAAAGGGCAUGGAGACCUUGGGGUGAGGGCAGGGCCCCAGGAACAGUCCCCACAGCAGCCGCACCCCAGUGUCUCGGCAAAGGCAUCCCUGCAACAUCUCAGGAAUGCGCCGCACACGUCCCCUUCCACUCGCAAACCUCCAUGACACCGGACAGCCACGUGCAAGAACAGGACCUCCGAGGGAUGUGGCCACGCCUGACCACGGAGAGGGCCACGUCUUUCCUGGCAGCGAGAACACUCCGCUGGAAGCUGAGGCGCCCUUGCUGGGCCCCGCCAGCCCAGCUACAGACCCCAGGACCCCUGCGGUGGAGCGGCCCCAGGCCCGAGACCGGCUGACACUGAGGACUCCAGGACCCUCUCCAGGACGUGCACCCAAGGUGGCUCUGAGCACCAGCCAGCUUGGCAACCAGUCACCAGCCACGGCCACCCCAUCCGCGCUCACAGUUGAAGGACGUGCUCCCUGGGUGACAGCUCAGGACCCCCAGGGUGUCUGCUGCCCCGAGAUGCCGACAGCAGCCAACAGUCCCGUGCCAAACAUCUGGAGGGACCCGAGCACCACCAUAGUGGCCGUGGUGAGACGAGUGCGGCCCCGGGCUUCUGCGCUGCCGACCCCGCUCUCUCCUGCCACGUGCGGCGUGCGAGUGCCAGCGCUCCCUGGAACCUGUCACCACGAGCGUGUACCAGUUCAUCUCAAACAAAAUGUAAAGGCAGAAACCCAGGCUCUCAUUCCGGAGGGCAGAGACUGCACCCCUCACCCCACCACUGCCCGGGCAGGCCCCGCCCGGUGCAGCCCUAGGGAGCUGCCUCAGUUUCUCCCUCCACUGUCCCCAGCCAGCGUGACGGAGACGUGCUCACGGCAGCCAUGUUCUUGCUUCCUGCGGGCGUUUUACAGACGCCCCACACCACAGCUGAUGUCAUCGGAGCAGGGCAGCCCACGCUGGAACACAGGCCACCAGAGAGAGAGCACACGGACGCAGAGCAGAGGAGGUCUUUGUGAAAAGACAGCUCUGCAGGGACGGUGGGAGGACAUACGUCCCAGCUGCUCAGAGGCCGGGCCAGAUCCCUCGAGCCAGGAGUCUCUGCCUGGCAGCAGAGACGGCCCGUAGAGAACAGGGACAGCGCAGCUGGCCACGACGGACCAAGAGGACCCGCGUGCUUGGGGACGGGUGUCGUGUGACGUCGGGGACACAGUGAGGCUUCCCAGGACCUGUCCAAGCCUUCACACCCAUGGACACGCUGACCUCCUACUGGACACGCUGUCACCAGCUCUGCCUGUAUCUGGGCAGACGCCGCACGCCUGGCCUGGGUUUCCUGCCAACUCCGUGUGACAACAGCGGUCGGCCCCUCCCCACGCCCUCGGAGCAAGUGCAGCCUGGCCUCUCCCUGAGCCCCGGGGGCUUCGGAGCUAGGACACAAACUCGGAGUCAGAGCACAGGAUCCUAAACCCCUUCCCACAAGCUCGAGAUUCUGGUGGUUCCAUGAUAUUUAUACAGGUUGGCAACUAAUAUUAUUCAGAGUAAUUUCUGCACAGAAAUCACUGUAGUGAAAUACUCUGAAGUAGCUGAGGCUCUGCUGCUUGGGAAGAGGGUGGAAGUUACUCCUUUCUGUUACUCCUUUCUACCCCAGAGCCGCACACCCCACAGAAAGCCCCUGUUUCUAUAUUCACAAAAGCCAACAACAGAGCUCUAAGUUUCUGAGUGAAGACUCAAACACGUUUGGCCACCCCUGCCUAGAAAUCUCCGGACUGGAUGUGGAACCCUGGAGCACAGCCCCACCAGCAUAUGUCUGGGCCUGUGGCCUGCGGGUGUGUCCUAGGCUCAGGCCGCUCAGGACAUUCUCUCAACGACAGGCCCAAUCCAGUGCUCACCUGACCCACAUCCGGAUGCUGCUGUCAGCAUGGACAGGUUGGGGCCUCAAUGGUCUCAUGUCAUGCGUGUGGGCGCCAGGUUCGCCUACAGGGCUCACGCAGCACAUGGAAAUGGUUUGUGCUCUGUUUUACAUGAAGAAAGUCUUUUUUUUUUCCUGGAAUAUUGUUGGGUACAAACAUUUUGCUUACACAUGAUGCCUUUGCCUUGCCCAGGCCAGGGCUGCAAGCGGGCCCCUUCCCGCAAGGGUCGGGAGGCCUGGCGCCACCGUGGCAGCGUGGAGUGAAGGGGGAGGCGGGAAUAUUGCAUCUUGGGAGUCCGAGGUGGGCUGUGCCCACCAAUACCUACUGAGGGCGAUUUCCUUAACGCCAGGAGUCGCUCAGGUGCCAGUGGCCCCGACACGCAGGAUUUGCGUCAGGGCUCCUGAGUGCACCUGGCAGGAGGCCGGGCGUCCACAGGCCACCGGACAGCGUUAGAGAGGGAUGUCGGGUAUGGCCACUCUGGUGUCUGGGCCACAGAGCACCCCAGGGGAGGGGCAGACAUCGGAGUGACAGGCGCCUUCCGGGUGGGAGUGACAUGUACGUGGGAUGCCAAAUGUGCUCAGGGUCGGCUGUGCCUGGUGCCCGGAAGCUCUGGAGGCUCAAGACGUCUGGGACCCCAGGGACGGGAGGCGAGGGGAGAGCUCAGGCAGGGAUGGGGGCGCAGCUGGAGCCACAGUCCUGGCCGCCACCCCGCCCGCCCUGCAGCGCUGCCCUCCCUCGCCCCGUCCCAGGGACCCUCUCAUCCACCAGACUCACCAGUGGAAGGCGCAAGGAGGGAGCUGGGGUGUCGCCUGCCCUCUUCCCGCCGGGCCCCUCCUGCCCACCUCGCCAGCUCCAUUAGGGUCCCCACCCGCUUCCUCCGGCCUGGGGACGGGGUGGCUUCCAGCAGGUGCCGGCCCUCCAGCUGGCCAGUCACCCACCACCCUCUGCCCAGGUGAGGCCUGUGUGCGGCAGUCAGGUCCUUGCCAGGCACAGGGAAGAUCCCUCCUCUGCUGGUGAGAAGAAGGCGUGGAUGGUGGGCGCCGGGCGCAGACGGAUGAUGUACAGAGCCAGGAAGGGACGUGUUUUCCACGGCAGGGGCACAGCCGGGGUGCGGGACCAGGGGAAGGCGGGACUGCAGGUGGGUGAGGGAUGCAGCCAUGUUGCAGGGCAGGCCAGCGGAGCCCCUGCGGGGAGCGUGGGCACAGCUGUUGGCAGGGCUGGGACAAUGGCCUGGAGGGAAGGCGUGGGGACACGAGGGGCCUGCGUGUCUGUGGCUGGGAGGA